rnacentral:rRNA from 1 species
GAUGAACGCUAGCGGCAGGCUUAAUACAUGCAAGGCGAGGGGGCAGCAAUGUCACCGUCGUACGGGUGCGUAACGCGUAUGCAACCUACCUUCAACUGGGGGAUAGCCCGGGGAAACCCGGGAUUAAUACCGCAUAACACAAUGAGUUCUCCUGGGUUUAUUGUUAAAGAUUUUAUUGGUUGAAGAUGGGCAUGCGUUCG